UGCUGUGUGGCUCAGUUCGUAGAGCAAGGCACUUGCAACGCUGGGGGUCAUGGGUUUGAUUCCCAUUGGGGCCA
rnacentral:tRNA from 1 species